GACUGGAGGAGGCACCGCCUCGGCCCCCGCCGCCGGACGGCCCGUGUCCGCCGGGCGGCCUGAGGAGGAGGGGCUGCGGAAACACCUCGGCGGGGUAAAACGUGUCCUCACCUCGUGUAAAGUUCAGCCUCGCACUUCAGGAGCAUCACAGGCACUAAGCAUGUUCCAAAAUACCGCUCAGUGAAACUGAUAGAUCAAGUCAGUGAGAACUGAGAGCAGUAAAAUCUCCUCAGAACCUGCUCAGCUCCUUGGGAUCCUCUGGACAACCCAGCAAUGAGACAAUAAGAGGGGAGAGUGGAAACCAACUGCUGUAGAUGUGUGCCAGGAACACAACAACGACGAUUGGAUUAUUUGACUUCUAAGAAUUCAAGUGAAGGAUUGCAGAUUACCUCAGAGAAACCUUACAAAGAACAAAACCAUUAACUUUACCGGUGCAUCAUCUGAGAACAGUAAUGCUGGAAAUAUCUAAGUUAAACACUGUUUUUCUUGUAUCAUUAAAGAAUUAGAGUCUGACAGCCCUGGUCCUCCUCUCAGCAUUCCCUCAGCCAAACAAGAGGAGAGCUGAUGGCCCUUCUGACUCAGACACGCCUGCCCCUCCAUUCUCCAGAAAAGAAGAAAGGACUGCCUCUUGGAAACUGGCCACCGCUUUUUGUUUCUCAUGGGCUGGUUCACUUGGCCACGUUUCCUCUCCAGUACAUUGUUCUGCAAGGCCCAUCAGCUCCCAUGACCCUGAGAACAUGAGGCAGCUCCUUCCUACGUUGCCCCAGACACGUGAAGCAUUUCAUCUCCAAAACCAAGGCCCCAGAAGAGGACCAGCAGGACUCCAAGGAAGGAACUAAGGAAAUGCAGUCCACUUGCAUGGGCUGGACUGGUAGCAGACCACACUGGGGAUUCUUCUUGACAAAACCACUCCAGAAUUCAUGCAAAAAUACUCAUGCUGCUUUUAUGUGAUUCCCACAUGACUCCCAGCUCAUCAGUUACACGGAGCCCAAAGGGCAGGUAGAGUAUCAAGCACAACUCAGGAAAUGAAACCCGGAACACCCCUGGGAGCUACUGGAGACAGUAAACAACCAGGAUGGUUUCACACUGAUGGCUUACUAAGCUCCAUCUCUACGUUCCCCUCCUGAAAAGAAGGAGAAAAUGCGAUGAAAAAAGGUUCAUGAGUUAAGAUAAGGAUAGGAAGUUCAGUUACUCACUCACUACCUUCUGCCUCAGCCACAAGAUGGAUCCAAAAGGUGGGAAGAGUCUGGUAAGCAUGUACAAUGCCCCAGCAGCAACCCCUGAUCUGAAUGCAAUUGUCCUUCAAGCGUCCUCAGGGAAAAGGGUCUCAGGUGCCUGCUCCAUCUCAGAGACGUAUGUGUGACUGAUUCUCAGUCAGAGCUGGGGCAGGCAGAGAAGUGCUAACUGCCUGCAUAGGAAGAGAGCAUGAGUAAGCCUUCCAAAAUGGGUUCCCUUUGUCUGUACCAGCUAGGUGCAAAGAACUUUUCAUUUCUCAGACUGACUCAGCACAGAUCUUCUCUAAAGACACAGUAUUUCAGUAUUUCAGCUAAGUGCAAAGAACUAGGUACAAAGAGCCUGGAUUUUUGUAGUUUGGCACUUUCCCACAGCAUUCUCCUACAGAAACUGGCUGCUUAUGGCUUGGACAGCUGAACAGUUCAGCAGGUGAAGAACUGGCUGAAUGUUGGGAUCAGAGUGUCAUAGUGAAUGGAUUGUAGAGACAUAUGGAAUGAAAUGCAGCUGUAGGAAGCUGUGCUAGCUGGAAGGCAAAAGCUUCCAGGUUUUGCUCAUCACAGUAUUAACCACACUUUUCUUUCUGGAAUUGACACUUCCUCUGCUCCAGCAUCAUCUCAUCAUCACCAACUUUGUCUCUUCACCUCUACCUGGGGAAGGGCAGGAACAGAAAAUGUUGUGUGUUAGUUUUACAGUAGUCUGAGCCACAGAAGUCUUUGGAACAAACGUUAUGGCAACUGGACUGAGCUGCAGAGAUUUAAAAACUUCCAUGGAAAACAAAUAGCAAACAGGACGGGCAUAAAGGCAGAAACAGGAUUGUUUUUUAAUUCACAUUUGAUUAUUAGUCAGCAACAUAUCUAAAGCUAGUGAAAGAAAUCCCAGAGGCGACCCACAGAAUGUUCUCAGGAAAGCUGCAUUUAAAUGACUUAUGCUUGGAGAUGGAAGGCUUAAAACGCCAAGGGAGAAAACAACUGAUAACUGACCCAGGGAUCCUCUAGCAGUGGAGGUGAUGCUGUGCAGUUGCAGGCAGCUGGGCAGCAGUUGGCUGAACAUACAUGUAUGAUCCAGUGUUUUUUGUAACUCUUACGUUCCUUAAAGGAUGCUAACAUUGUUAGAAAAGGAAGUUGUUAUGGAGAGAGUACAAAGCAGGAUCUGCCUCAAAGGGAAAGCUGGUGAUUAUCUGUUCAAAACAGUCUGAAAUUUCUUCCCAGGCUCCUUUUCUCUCUCCCUGCAAUGGCAUGCCUCUCUUCUGUGUUCCACCAGUUGGAAGCUACCAGCAGGAGGUUUCCAGCAUACAUUUUCCUUGUUUUGUAACACUUCCUAUCUCUCCAUGGGCAGAGUUGUGUCCUAGGCACCAGCAUUUGACCUCCAUGUUGAAGAAACUAGAGAAAGUUCUAGACUCUCUGCUAAGGCUUUCACGACUCUCUGUACAGCAGAACUGAAUACACCAGUGAUGGCAAUGCUUGUCAAUCCUUGGUGUGACCGGAUUGCUGAUUGGAAAAUUUUGUCUGGUGUUCAAAAGGUCUGCAGCUGUUAAAGUGAUGAGAGCAGAGUGCGUUCCACGAUGAGCAUGAGAGGAAGAGUCACACCUGUAGUCAAGCAUGUACUGCUAUUCUGAAGGACCCUUGGGAAAAAUAGCUCUGCCAUAACCUGCCUGCUGGUCACUAGAGAUCCCACGAGGACUGGAGGUUAACUUAUGCCUUCCACCGAUGUGGAUACCCGAGUAGGACCUGUUAAUAGUAGAGGAACUGCUGAAGCUGUUCUCCAGUGUCUUUUUGAUUUUUUAGCUGGAAAGGCCCAGGCAAAGGUGAUAUUUGCUUCUGUGGGGACAUCUGUUCCUGUUCCUGGCUGUUAGCCUGUUUGAUGUGAAACUGGAAGUGAUAUAAUGUUCGCAGGAGUUCCGUCCUCUGGCAUCCUGUGGAUCUUGGCUGACAGAGAGCAACAUCCUGGGGCUUCUUCCUGGAGAAUGCUGCCUGCCCAUUCUGCACGUAGAUCCCAUUUGUGUGCUCUCUCUAUGAUGUAGCUUUUCUCUUUUUAAAGUGGGGCAGCGGAAGAAAGGAAGUAAAGAAGCAGGACUAGGUGAAAUGCCCUUUGGAAGUGGCUCUGGCUCAGGAAAGGGCAAGUUAGAGCCUUAGCCUUGUGGACAAAGCUUUUACUGCCAGCCUUCAUCUCCCACAGUGUUUUGUCUUGCCUCUCCUGCAUAUUCCUUUGAAGCUUUUGAGCUAUUUUGUUGUUAUAGUCAAAUUGUUUUUUGCAUUUGAUUUAAAUACUUAAGGAGGCACAGCAACUAAAUCAGAGUAAGCACAUCUAUGAAGCAGUCAGCUUCACCUGGAACUACCUUUCUUUGUUCUCCAUCAUUUAAUCCAUUUCCACUUCUGUAGUUUUGCAGAGAAGGAAGAGAAACAAUUCCAUGAUGUACGACAGCUCUUAUUAGCUCUGCCUUUUUUCCAACAUACCACCAUAGAAGUCAUUCAAAUUGAUUUAUCAGAAGUACAAGUUGAUGCUCCCAGGAAAACUUUAGUCCAAAAGUAUUUAUGUUAAGUAGUCCACAAAUUACAGUCUUCCUCUUGUUAAGAAGCCUCUAAGAGAUGUCAGUGGUACAGAGGCUAGUGUUGACAGUCAAUGACGUUACUAGGUCAAAAAAAAUACAUAGAGAAUUGUUCUGGAGCCUGCUAUCUCCUACUUUUCUGAACUGCCUGGUAUAUAGUAAGUAACCAACACAUUAAGCAAGAACAGAGGAAAAGAAGGUGGGAGGAAGAAGUCUUCUUACUAGAGCAAUGGGCGCUGUCCUGCCACAUGCCUGUGUAACGUGAUCCGUCUGAUCUACAGCAACCCACCUGGUCGCAAACAGGAAAUAUCAAAUGUAAUACUAAUGCCAAACGUAAUCUCCCACGGCAGCCUGUGGGCGCAUACAGACACAGAACAAAAUUGUAUUUAUUUUGUAAGAUUAGCUUUCCACCGUGAAUAGUCUCGUUACAGCAUCAGACAAGUCAAGGAUGAAUGGAGAGGGUAUAUGGGCACAUUGCCUCUCUGGGCAGCAACCAGUUGGUGAAGUGUCUUACCUCAACUGAUGAGCCACUCUGUGAAAGGCAGUAUCUCUCACCUCUCCUGGCAUAGAAUUCAUUGCUGUUACUUCACACGUGGAAAAGGCCUUGCAAGCCUGAAAGGCUGACUGCCUUUAGUAACAACACCAGCUUGUGAAUAAAAUAUUCUAUCUCCAGAGUGCACUUUUUAUCUUAAAGACUUGCAACCGUGUUUCCUUAAUAAUAUUUUACUCUGCAGGGGGAAGUACUGCUGCAUACAAAAGGAAGAGUUAUUACCACAAUGAUGCUUAUGCAUUUUUAGUCUAGACAAGGCAGGUACACAGCAGUGGUACAUCAUACAUUAAAAAGCCUCCUUAAAACACCACCACGCUCCACUCAAGGUUGCUGCUUGUGGUCCAUCUCCUCAUUUGCUUUCGAUUUCAAUUGGAUAAAGAACCUGCUACCAUAAAGCACGGAGAAUUACAGAUUUAGUUACAUUGCAGCUCAAGGAAAAUAUUAAAUCCUAUGCAAGUAUCCUAGCUCACUCCUCGCUCUGUUCCUUGAAAAAUAGCUUUGAAUGCUGUUGCCUCAAAGAAUAAAAACCAGAAAUGCAAAGAAACAAACUGACAAACAGAUACAUUUUGAAAAUGUAACACAACUAAAACCUCUUCACGGACCACUGACCCCUCUGUCACUAUGAAAAUAGUGCCUCCUAUUUAUUCCAGGGAAACUGGAACAGAUACCAAGAGCACACUAGCACUAUUUGAUAAAGCGAAUUCUCAGCUACAAAAUACUGUUCUUCAGCAUAGUCACCAGCACUAGCUAUGCAUUUUUGCCUGCGAUGAACAAGAGUCUACAUGCUGUGCUCGUCGAUAUCAGCAUGGUAGUUUGGAAUGUGGCUUGUCUCACAUUGCUGUCCCUGCUGCUGAAACACACUACUCAUUGCCUCACUGUGCUCACAUCCAUGGUUUGGUUUCCACAAGUGUUCAACAAAUGUCAAUGAAUGCCGUGGGUGCCAUUUUUUCCACGUAGAGGAAUUCAGUGACCUACUGUUGCUUCCUGUGCACUUUCAUGUCACAUGCCAUUGUGUCAGCACCCCUCUGCUGCCAUCUGUCACACAGCAACAACACAUAGUGGAUACGGGUGGGAAGGUUCAGCCUCUACUGCUGGACCACCAACAUUCACCUCUGGCACUGUGGGCUAACACAACAAAACAGGAGGCGUUACUUUCGCAGCAGCCCUCAUAUUUGCAUGAAUGCAAUUCUUUCUUUCUGCCAGCAUCUUCCACAUGGAGGACUAAUACGACUUACUAUCCCAGCAUCAGUAAAAUUGCUCAGUUCUAUUUAAAUGUAAUAGCCCAAAACCUAAAUGCUGUAGCUUUUAAAAAUUGAUCCAAAAUGAUUCAGACUUAAUAUUUCGCUGAAUAAAAUCUUAUUUUUAUUAAAAAAAAAAAAGAUAGAAGCAGAUGCUACUUUUAAAUGAAAUCAUUUAUUAAACCAAUCUGUUUAUAGGAGGUAUAUAUAUAUAUAUUUUAUCAUUAAGACAACUUCAAUGAAAUGACUAUCUACAAAAAUGACUUUGAUUGUUUUAUUUUCAUGUCACCAUACAUGAACAGAUGAAUUUUAUGUCUUAUGAAAACAUUUUACUCAGUAUCAAAAAUGUACAUAUUUUAAUAACCAUUUCUAUGGUCUGAAGGGAAUUUUAUAUUUAAUUUCAAAAAAUAAGUGUCAUUUUAUUGCCAUACAUGUUACAGCAUAAGCUUAAAUCAUCUUAUACAUAAUAGAAGUGUUGUGUAGGGAUACAGGCAAUUUUACAUGUUGUCACAUACCUUCAUGUUUGAGACACAGAAGUGGGGUAUUUGCUUUUUUCUUUUUUUUUUUUAUGCAAAGGCUGAAAUAUGUACUGAUGUGAGCACAAAGCAAUGUUUUUUAAGAACAAAACCAGUUUGAAUGGCACAAGAGUUAGCAUUUUUCAUAAAUUAACAACCAGAGUUCUUGAUUAUGGAAACAGAUACAUGAGAUUCCAGUCCUUUCCUUAGGGUUUUGCUCUCUGGAAGAAUACCUGUUAAGAUAUAUUAUUAAAACAAAAGAAGGAAGUAUGAAUUUAAGACAUGGAAUGGUUGAGGUGUAAGACAGUUUGUCACAGUUCACUUUCUUCUUUAACAUAAUGAACCAAGAUUUUCAAGGAUGUACCUUGUGCUAUUUGAUUAAAUUCACACCCCCAAAAAUGAAGUCUUCCUACACAUUGACUCUAAAUACAGUACAUUUGUUUUCGUUAUGUCAACUAAUAAGCAACACAAGCCACAAGAAUAUUGAGCUACUGAAGAAAUGGCAGAGUGCAAAGCAUAUGUGCAGUUCUACUGACAUAGGGCUUUUGUUGCUAUUGCUCCUUCUUUCCAUGUAACUGUUCGUACAACUUGGAGAUUCCCUAUAGCUAAAAGCUUAUCUAUCAGUUGAGUCUGAUGGUAGAGCAUUCUGUAUUUCAGUUUUACUUCAGGUCACCACCUUGACUGAAUUAUGCACCAAUGUUCAAAUGGAAUUAAAAGUGAUUUAAUGAAACAAAAUCUUUACCUUUAAGUAAUUCUUAAAAACUUUAGCAUCAGGCUGCUGAAGUGCUUGACAGAAUUCCUGUAAGGAAGAAUAACUACAUGAAGCACAAGAGAACCUGAGAUACGUUAUAUAUGUAUACUUCGUAUAUACAACUAUUGAUCUUAGUUUGUAGUUUCCUUAACGUUCAACCCAAGAAAAGCACGUUAUGGUAAAAAGAAUAAAAAUAAAAUAAAAUGCACAUUUUGGGGUGAGAAAACUGUAUUUUCAAAUCUAAGGCAUCAAGUUCACCUCUAAGUGAACAGACAGAAGCAAGGCCACCUAGGAGGAGUGCAGUCAAGGAACUUUUAAACUUUCCACUUUUCUACCAACUUUUGGUGUCUUUGAGAUGAACACACGGAUAUUUCAGACAAACCUAAGUGGUAUUACACAUACACAGAGUGACUCUGCAUUACAGUACAACACUUCUGUCACUUUCAAAAAAACAUUAUAAUCUUAGACUAGAAAACAGCACUGGGGCAAGUAACAGAUAAUAUUUGAUCACCAUAUGUAUUUAAUGCCACGUGAAAGUUCUACAGUUCAGGAGACGUUUGUAAUCAUUACAAAACUUAAAAAAGCAAGCCCAAUUACUGCUGUUUCCAAAUUAACUGCAAUUAAAAUUAUAAAUUGUCAGUGUAGAGCUAACAAUCUCUUCAUGGCAAUGGUUACCAUGUGGUUAGUAAUGAUAAAUGUUGAGACAAUGGUCAAGUGUGAAGCUUCACUUCUGAGAGCCCUUUUACACUGUCAGCUACUUCAAAAUAAACAGAACAAAACCCCACUGGUUUUGGUGUUGUAUAUUAUUUUGACAGCAGAGCUAGUGCUGUGGCUUAGCAAUGAAUACGGCCUUUAUCUUCACUGUUCUCAUACAUUCAACAUUCUUCACCUUUUACUUUUAAGUUGUUAUAAGUAUUCAACUCUGAUGCUUCUGGCAGCCAAGUUAAAAAUUGAUUGCACCGGUUAUGAAGACUUACUUGGAUACACUCUUUUUUGCAAGAUACUCUUGCAGCAACUUCACUCUUUAUGCUAAAUUAAUUCUACUCUAAUAUGCAGUAUCAGAACAAUUUUUACUGGGGGACAGUAAAACAGUUUUGGCAGUAUGCAUUUUGUUCCCAUUUAAGAUUUCUGUGUGUUAACAGUUUUGCAAAUGUUCAUUUAGGAAUUCCUACCUGAAUUAUCUCAGGAGCUACUUGCAAAGAAGGCAAAUACUCUUGCUGAAGGUACUGAAUGCACUCAGGACCCUAAAGAAAAGCAGCACACAAUUUGUUCAAGUGUAGUUUUGUACAUUUUUAUGGCAAGUCAUAGCCCUGUACUGUAUGGUACACAAGAGUUUUAAAACAGAUCUAUACUUCUCCUAUUUUUUUUGUUUAGAUAUGACUUCAACUCACAUUUGAGAGAGAGAAAUUAGCCAGCAAGUUGGUGCAAAGGUUGCAGUUACAUGAACGUAGAAACUACUCGGUUUUCCAUUAGAACUGAAAUAUGCUGUAGUGCUUUAGUCAGUAGCCAACAAAAAAUUCAUCCUUUUCCAUAAAUGUUUCUCAACCUAGUCUCUCAAAAUCUGAAAAAUAACCUUAUUUUUUUUUCAGGAGGACUCUAUCAUACACCUUUAAUUGCUUUUUCACAUUAGCUGAAGUAGUACAUUAAAAAGUAGACAAUCAGUUAAACACAGUAGCAGUAAGGAGAUCAGAUUUCUCUCCCUUACUUAAGGAGUCAAUAUUUUGCAGUAAAUUAUCAAGAACUACUCAAUUUUCUGUUUCUAACAAAGCACUAUAGCCAUCCUAUUAAAAUAUAUAGAAGUAGAAUAGUAACGAAUCUUAGAAAAUAUCUGAUUUCUAGAAACAGAUAAAAGCAUUAGAAAGAAACCUGCAAGAGUUACUCCCUGCAAAGUGUUACAAAGCUUACCCUUUUGAGAUGAAUUGUCUUUAAUGUCACUGCACAUUCUGAUAAAGCCUGUAAUGUAAUGCAUAACGUUAGAUUGUUCAAUUAGUAUACUGGUUAAGUAUUUCCAACCAAAGAUCCUAAAAUAACUCCCAAAACAAGGGCUAGUUCAUGCAAUUGUUCCCCCCUUUUUCCUCAUCCCAUGCUAAGUCAGCAUUUCCUUUCAGUUUUUUUGUUCCCCUCUUACCAAAGAAGCAUCCGUCACAGCUAAACCCAAGACAAACCAAGGAACAGCUAUCCGUGCGUGUUCGCUUUCACUGAAUAUUAGUUCGUGAGCAAUGCAGAUCAGCAUCAAAUACUCAAACCUGCAAUUCCCAAGCUUGAUUUUGUGCAUAGGUGAACUAUAGAAUAUAGCACCAUAACAUCUAAGAGCAAGCUAUUGAGGUACCCCAUUAAAAACCCUACGAUAUUUUCUUUCUAAGACAAGACAACCUUUGAUACCAACGGGCCAUUUCAUUUUUCCUUUUUCCUAUUGAACCUGCCACAUGGAAAUGAUUGGAAGAACAGCAGCAACAACCAAAAGCCCAACGGUAAUACAUACCAAUACUGUCUGGGCAUCUGCUAAGUCAAACGUUUGCUUCAAAGGUGCUAAGAAACAUGCAGGGACGAUGUGCUUGUAGACAAAGUCUGCAAAACCUACUGGUCCAUCUUUCCCUCCUGAAAAGAGAAAUAACAUUCCAUGUUCUACCCAUGUUUCAGAGUUAGUAGCAGCUGCAAGGGAAUUAUGGAAAGACAGUCUUACCCCAAAGCUCCACCAACUUAGAAAGAAUAAUAAAACAAGUCUUCUGUGCAAUAGGAUCUGGGUAAUCCACUGCUCCUUGGAUGACAGUGAACAACACCCGCUCCACAUUCUCCGCACCUUAAACACAUCAAAGUGAACCUGUCAUUCGAACCCACAACGUAAGAGUUUCUGCAGUCUUGCACUACUGUUGGUAGAGUUAGUUAAAAACUCAGCAGCACCCAAGUAGCUCACUUCUAAUACAUUACAAUAUGUUUUUAUCACGCAUCACAAAAGGAUCAUAGAAGCUUGCUAAUUUCUACUGGAUUUCUUUAAAAUGUCUUGGCCUACUGCAACUACCAAGAUGCCUCUUUUAAGAAACCUCUUACUACUUCUUAUCAUCCUUUCCUUUCCCACAGAGAUUACCAGCAUUUUAGGAUGCAGAGAGUAAGUCUGAGGUCUAUCUUCCACACAAGUCACCCUGAAGAUUCUCAAAUCCUUGGCCAUAUUUGUGGAAUACAGGCUAAGAGAAUUAUUCAAAAAAAAUAAAAUAAAAAAAACACAAAACUAGACUUUCGACUUUUAAUUCCCGUUAUAAAAAGUGCUGAUCUGCAUUCGGGAAAGCCUGGUAAAUGUAGUGAUGCUUUUUAGCAUAGUUAAGAUAAGGUGAGAGUUAAAUAAAUAAAUAAAUAACUAGAUCACAGAAGUCACUGAAACAGGCUGCCCGGGGCUCCAUCCCACCUGGCUUUGAACACCUCCAGGGAUGGGGCAUCCACAGCUUCUCUGGGCAGCUGUGCCAGCACCUCAGCACUCUCUGAGUAAAAAAAAUCCCUCCUAAUAUCUAAUCUAAAUCUCCCUUCUUGUAGUUUAAAACUAUUCCACCUUGCCCUAUCACUAUUAGCCCAUGGAAAUUUUUAUAGAACAAACUAAUAUUAACAUAUUUAAUAUUACAUGGCAGGAAUUAGGUUAAUGAUUUUAGCAGACAAAACUUAAAUGAGAGCAACCAUGGUGACAUCCUUUGAGGAACGGAACUACUCACCUUGAUUAGCUAUGACUUCACUCAUUCCACUGCCAGUUACUGUCUGCAGAAAAGCAAAGUAACUCCUCCGUAACAUUUGUUUUUCUAAAGCAGCAGACUGGUCGUUGUCUUCUGCUGGAAGAAGCAACACCU